UUGGUCCAGUCGAGUUCUGAAAGUUCAGCUGUAAGACCUUCAACGGGGAGAAUGGAAGUUUGCGCUGGAUCGGAAAAUUGAUGAAAGAAAAUUGAAGCGGCGCGGCGCAGGAGAGAGAGAAAGAGAGAGAGGCAGAGAGAGAGAGAGAGAGAGAGACUGUGGCCGAGAGACAGAGAGAGAGAGAGACAUGGAGCAUCUGUCAGCUCCGCGCUGAAGGGGCAAGGUAAAGGAUUCCAUCGCAAAACUUACAGAAAGGACGCGGUUCCUUCAAAGAUUUAACCCCGACAGUGAAAAAAAGACACUUCCGACGUGGCAAUGAUUAAAAGCGUCGGAUUUGGCUCGUACAUUACACAGACAGAACAUGAAUCACCUUGUCUUUCUUAUCUGUAGAGAUUUGCUUUCAGCUACUUAAAGAAGUAAAUACUUCAGUCAACUCUCGUACAGGUUUCAUGGCCUUUUCUUAAAAUCUGAAUAAAUCUCGAUGGAGGGAUUGGGGCAAGCAAAGGCCACGAUGAAUCUCUGGCGAUUGAUGGCCAAAAUACAUAAGACCCUUUCACAAGGUGGUCUUCAAAUAUGUCCCUCUGUAUUUUGGGAGGGGGUUAUUGGCGUUCAGAAGGAUUGCUGCUAAACGGGGAGGGGGAGAAGCCCCAUGCACUGAGGAUUUCCGGCCAUUGACGGCAGUCCCAUCUUGUCGUUUUAAACCCCAGCAACAAUGCAGCAGUGUGAAUGUCCCGCAGCAUGACAGGACGUCAGAAACAAAAGCAGAAAUUGCUGGAAAAGCUCAGCAGGUCUGGCAGUCUCUGUGGAGAAAAAUCAGAGUUAACGUUUCGGGUCCAGUGACCCUUCUCAGAACUGGAAGGACACCAAAUAGCUCGCGUUAACAACGCCGGCAUGGAGUUAGCGAAUGUAUUCAUGAAGAACCUGGCUGCUUGCAUACCCUGCCGGACUGACUGGUACAAUCCAACGCGCAACUGAAGUCUCUAUCAACCAGCCAGAGAAUCGGAAUCUUGAUGUGAGCUGUGCAAAAAAUCAAC